rnacentral:rRNA from 1 species
UACAGAGGGUGCAAGCGUUGGUCGGAAUUAUUGGGCGUAAAGCGCGUGUAGGCGGCUUUGCAAGUCGGGUGUGAAAGCCCUCAGUUCAACUGAGGAAGUGCGCCCGAAACUGCAGAGCUUGAGUGCCGGAGAGGGUGGCGGAAUUCCCCAAGUAGAGGUGAAAUUCGUAGAUAUGGGGAGGAACACCGGUGGCGAAGGCGGCCACCUGGACGGUCACUGACGCUGAGACGCGAAAGCGUGGGUAGCAAACAGG